CCUACGGGAGGCAGCAGUAGGGAAUCUUCGGCAAUGGGGGCAACCCUGACCGAGCAACGCCGCGUGAGUGAAGAAGGUUUUCGGAUCGUAAAGCUCUGUUGUAAGUCAAGAACGGGUGUGAGAGUGGAAAGUUCACACUGUGACGGUAGCUUACCAGAAAGGGACGGCUAACUACGUGCCAGCAGCCGCGGUAAUACGUAGGUCCCGAGCGUUGUCCGGAUUUAUUGGGCGUAAAGCGAGCGCAGGCGGUUUGAUAAGUCUGAAGUUAAAGGCUGUGGCUCAACCAUAGUUCGCUUUGGAAACUGUCAAACUUGAGUGCAGAAGGGGAGAGUGGAAUUCCAUGUGUAGCGGUGAAAUGCGUAGAUAUAUGGAGGAACACCGGUGGCGAAAGCGGCUCUCUGGUCUGUAACUGACGCUGAGGCUCGAAAGCGUGGGGAGCGAACAGGAUUAGAUACCCUGGUAGUCCACGCCGUAAACGAUGAGUGCUAGGUGUUGGAUCCUUUCCGGGAUUCAGUGCCGCNGCUACGCAUAAGCACUCCGCCGUCGGGGAGGUACGGACCGACCGAAGGUUAGUAAACGUUAAAGUAAGUAGUAGACGGCGUGAGACGACGACGACGGACGACGACGGAGGGAGGAGG
rnacentral:rRNA from 1 species